GGUCUUCAAUAUUAUGCAGUUAUCCGUGUGCUUUUCUAUGAAAUCUCAAACCCUUUAACACUUUUCAUUACCAUGUCCUUAAGAACUCACAAUGCGCAAUGUAUAUAUUCUAUCCAUAAUGCCGUUCAAUGUUUUUUCUCUUCCAAUUUUACAUAUUGCGUAACCCUGAAUAGUCGACUGAAAUCUAGAAAUAAUUUUAAAACGACUUUGCAACUGGGUGAAAAAUUCGCAUCUUUAAAUGAACUGCGAGGAAAAAUCGGUAUGUAUUUUAAUCACCGAAAAAUUGUCUUCCGAGGAGAAAAAAUCACAUUACGGUAAAACUCCGAACAUAAUACUUUCAUCGGUACAAUGGCAAUUCAAAAUUCGAUUUACAAUGAUGGGACGUGGCGAGUUGUCUGAAAAUAUGCGCAGUCUUGUUGCGCCUUCGCUUAAAUAUAAUAUUCUAAAACCUUCUCUUCCGCAGACAUAGUAAAUUUACAUUGCUGUAAAUUCCGUAAAAUAUGAAAAUCGUUCCG